GACAGCCCUAAGCCAGGCUAAAAGCCACAGCUCAAAAAGUGAGCCGGAUAUUGAAUGCUCUAAGCUGGAAAGUAUGGUGAAAAAUCAUACUUCAUAUGAAGAUCACUGAAGACGUAAUAGUUAAUAUACCCGUUGCACAAAGUGCAUUCUAGCCAACUGUUGGAUCGUUAUUCAACCUUAAUGUCUGCAAUAUUGGCUCGAAGUAGAUCUUAAGCUACGCCCAUCUGUCAAUCCGGCCUAAAGAAACCGUCUAGACGCCCAGUCUUUCAGCCUGAGUAGUCGCCAAGUAAGCGAGCCAAGAAGAAAAAACAAGUUCGGCGAUUGUUUGCAUUUUCAGUGGGAACGUGUUUGGCCCCGAUUUAAGCAGCAAUGACCGUGAAUGCGAUAACGCUUUUGCUUUUACGAGAGCUGUAAACUUGGACUCACCUCGAAAUCUGGGCCAGGAUACGAUAAACGCUUCAUUUUCUCAACUUCGUCCUUGAGCUUUCUGCAAAGAAGAAACAACGGAUUUUAACUUAGCUUUAAAAUCAUUUAAAUGAAUCAGCUUCAGAAAUGAAUGUACAAAUUAAAUUUAAAUACAUUAUUAAUCCUUUUAUAAAUAAAUGAAACCAUGAAAUAGCAUGAUACUUUUGAUGAAAAGUAUGCGAAUUCGGAAAACUUGGUUUUCAAGCAAAUACAAAAAAGGCAAUUGAAAUUGCUUCUUC